UACGUAGGGUGCGAGCGUUGUCCGGAAUUAUUGGGCGUAAAGAGCUCGUAGGCGGUUCCGUAAGUCGAGUGUGAAAAAUCUGGGCUCAACCCAGUGAAGCACUCGAUACUGCGGUGACUAGAGUACGGUAGAGGAGUGUGGAAUUCCUGGUGUAGCGGUGAAAUGCGCAGAUAUCAGGAGGAACACCAACGGCGAAGGCAGCACUCUGGGCCGGUACUGACGCUGAGGAGCGAAAGCGUGGGGAGCAAACAGG
rnacentral:rRNA from 1 species